rnacentral:rRNA from 1 species
UACGUAGGCAGCGAGCGUUGUUCGGAGUUACUGGGCGUAAAGGGUGUGUAGGCGGUUGUUUAAGUUUGGUGUGAAAUCUCCCGGCUCAACUGGGAGGGUGCCGCCGAAUACUGAAUGACUUCGAGUGCGGGAGAGGAAAGUGGAAUUCCUGGUGUAGCGGUGAAAUGCGUAGAUAUCAGGAGGAACACCGGUGGUGUAGACGGCUUUCUGGACCGUAACUGACGCUGAGACACGAAAGCGUGGGUAGCAAACAGG